GGUUUAAUAAUAAGAGUGAAUGGCAUAAAAAGGAGAAGGUAAAAAAUUGUUUGUAUUUAUUUGGUAAUUAAAAUUAAGUAAAAUUGAAAAAUCAUUUAGUAUAUAGUUAUAGUAAGGUUAUAUUGAAAUAUAAAAAAUUGAAACUAAAGUGGAUAAGUAUUGUAAAAGAAAUAUUUUAGAAGUUAAAAAAGAAGAUUUAAAUUUUUGUACCUUUUGUAUCAGGGAUUUUUUAUUUAUUAUGUUGAUAACCAAGGUUCCCGAAAUAAGGUGAUCUAUUUCAGUAAAUAUAUUUAUGUGGAAAAAUAAAAUUCAAUACUGUUUUAGUGGUGAAAUGUUAGUCGAACUUUAUAUAUCUGGUUGUUUCUGAAAUAAAUUUAAUUUAUUUUUAUUGGAAAAAAUCUAUAAAAUUAAAUUUUCAGGGGGAAGAGCUCUUGAGAAAUAAAUAAAAAAACUUAGCAGGUAAGGCAAAAUUAGGCUUAGAAUCAGCCAUAUUUUCAUAGCGUUUUAGGUGGUGUUUAAAUUGAAUAUAUUUUAAAGGAAAUUUUUAUUUAAAUUUAAGGAAUUAUCAUUUUGAAUAUUAAAAAGUGAGAAAUAAUGAUUAUAUUAGUAGAAAAGUUUAUGUUAUGAAUAAAUUGUCAGGAUAGAUAAUAAUGUUUAAUUAAUUUUGAUGUAUUUAAGGAAUUCGACAAAUAUUAUAUUCACCUGUUUAUCAAAAACAUGUCUAUUUGAAUUCAUUUUUUAGUCUGGCCUGCCCACUGAUUUAUUAAAGGGCCGCGGUAUUUGGACCGUGCUAAGGUAGCAUAAUCAAUAGUCUCUUAAUUGGAGUCUGGAAUGAAUGGUCGGAUGAAAUAUAAUUUGUCUGCGAAUAUAGUAUUGAAUUUUACUUUUAAGUGAAAAGGCUUAAAUAAAUUAAAGGGACGAUAAGACCCUGUGAAGCUUUAUUUUUAUUAUGUUUUAAUAUUUGAUAGUUGUGUGAUUAAAUUUGAGUUUAGUAAAAAUUAAAUUGGGGCGAUUGGAAUAUAUUAUUAACUGUUUUUAAUAGUAAAAUAAAUAAUUUUUAGGUGUUGAUCUUGUAUUACGGAUUAUAAGAUUUAAGUUACUCCAGGGAUAACAGCGUAAUUCUUUUUGAGAGUUCUUAUCGACAGAAGUAUUUGCGACCUCGAUGUUGAAUUAAGAUUUCAUUAAGGUGUAGUAGUCUUGAUUGUAGGUCUGUUCGACCUUUAAAAUUUUACAUGAUUUGAGUUCAGACCGGCGUAAGCCAGGUUAGUUUCUAUCUUUUAUUUUUUGCAAAUCAUUUUAGUACGAAAGGAGUAAAUGGUUGAAAUAUUUUUAAAAAUUAGAUUUACUUUAAAUUACUU
rnacentral:rRNA from 1 species